rnacentral:snRNA from 1 species
AUCAUUUCUCAGUCUUUUGGCUAAAAUCAAGUAUAGUAUCUGUUCUCAUCAGUUUAAUAUCUGAUAUGUCUUCUCACUGAUGACAAUAUCUUAAUGGAUUUUUGAAAAGGGAGAUGGAAUAGGAGAUUGUUCCAAACACUCCAGACAUUAACUGGAUGUUCAUUACUUCCAGGAACAGUGCACCACUU